AUGCUUAUGCUUGAUCUGCAGGGAUCUUCUAAGAAAUCAAUUGAUGCAACUGAGCCAUCAUUUAGGCUGUAUGGGUGCCAUGCAAAUAUCACAUAUUCACGCCCUCAAUCCUCAGAUGGUGUGCCACCAUUGGUUUCCCAUUGUGUGCUGGAAACUCUGACAUGCCUGGCAAGAAAUCAUCCAAAUGUGACUAAGCUCUUACUUUUUCUUCAGUUCCCCAGCCCGCCCACCUGCCAUGCCGAAACAGUUGACCAGAGGCAUGGAAAGGCUUCCUUGAGGAAGACGGGGAACAACAGAAUGCUUUUGCACUCGUUCUACUUUUAA
rnacentral:rRNA from 1 species